rnacentral:rRNA from 1 species
GCGGUGGAGCAUGUGGUUUAAUUCGACGCAACGCGAAGAACCUUACCUGGGCUUGACAUCCCGAUCGUACCUGCUGGAAACAGCGGGGUCAGUUCGGCUGGAUCGGAGACAGGUGCUGCAUGGCUGUCGUCAGCUCGUGUCGUGAGAUGUUGGGUUAAGUCCCGCAACGAGCGCAACCCUUGUCCUUAGUUGCCAUCAUUUAGUUGGGCACUCUAAGGAGACUGCCGGUGUUAAACCGGAGGAAGGUGGGGAUGACGUCAAGUCCUCAUGGCCCUUAUGUCCAGGGCUACACACGUGCUACAAUGGCCGGUACAAAGGGCAGCAAAGCCGCGAGGUGGAGCAAAUCCGAAAAAGCCGGUCUCAGUUCGGAUUGCAGGCUGCAAUUCGCCUGCAUGAAGUCGGAAUCGCUAGUAAUCGCAGGUCAGCAUACUGCGGUGAAUACGUUCCCGGGCCUU